GCGAGCAUCUGCCAGGAUGUUUUCAUUAAUCAAGAACGAAAGUUAGGGGAUCGAAGACGAUCAGAUACCGUCGUAGUCUUAACCAUAAACGAUGCCGACCAGCGAUUAGGAGACGUUGAAUACAAAACACCACCAUCGGCGCGGUCGUCCUUGGCGUCUCGGUCCUUCACGGGGCCGGGGCGCGGGGGCGGCUUAGGCCGGUGGCACCGGUGAAUGACUCCCCU
rnacentral:rRNA from 1 species